rnacentral:rRNA from 1 species
GCGGCGUGCCUAAUACAUGCAAGUCGAGCGGACAGAUGGGAGCUUGCUCCCUGAUGUUAGCGGCGGACGGGUGAGUAACACGUGGGUAACCUGCCUGUAAGACUGGGAUAACUCCGGGAAACCGGGGCUAAUACCGGAUGCUUGUUUGAACCGCAUGGUUCAAACAUAAAAGGUGGCUUCGGCUACCACUUACAGAUGGACCCGCGGCGCAUUAGCUAGUUGGUGAGGUAAUGGCUCACCAAGGCAACGAUGCGUAGCCGACCUGAGAGGGUGAUCGGCCACACUGGGACUGAGACACGGCCCAGACUCCUACGGGAGGCAGCAGUAGGGAAUCUUCCGCAAUGGACGAAAGUCUGACGGAGCAACGCCGCGUGAGUGAUGAAGGUUUUCGGAUCGUAAAGCUCUGUUGUUAGGGAAGAACAAGUACCGUUCGAAUAGGGCGGUACCUUGACGGUACCUAACCAGAAAGCCACGGCUAACUACGUGCCAGCAGCCGCGGUAAUACGUAGGUGGCAAGCGUUGUCCGGAAUUAUUGGGCGUAAAGGGCUCGCAGGCGGUUCCUUAAGUCUGAUGUGAAAGCCCCCGGCUCAACCGGGGAGGGUCAUUGGAAACUGGGGAACUUGAGUGCAGAAGAGGAGAGUGGAAUUCCACGUGUAGCGGUGAAAUGCGUAGAGAUGUGGAGGAACACCAGUGGCGAAGGCGACUCUCUGGUCUGUAACUGACGCUGAGGAGCGAAAGCGUGGGGAGCGAACAGGAUUAGAUACCCUGGUAGUCCACGCCGUAAACGAUGAGUGCUAAGUGUUA